GGCAUAUAGCCCUCGCUUUUCUGUACCGUAAGGUGGUACAGGAACAAGGACUGGGCAAGACCGGUGCCAGCCGCCGCGGUAAUACCGGCAGUCCGAGUGAUGGCCGAUAUUAUUGGGCCUAAAGCGUCCGUAGCUUGCUGUGUAAGUCCAUUGGGAAAUCGACCAGCUCAACUGGUCGGCGUCCGGUGGAAACUACACAGCUUGGGGCCGAGAGACUCAACGGGUACGUCCGGGGUAGGAGUGAAAUCCUGUAAUCCUGGACGGACCACCAAUGGGGAAACCACGUUGAGAGACCGGACCCGACAGUGAGGGACGAAAGCCAGGGUCUCGAACCGGAUUAGAUACCCGGGUAGUCCUGGCUGUAAACAAUGCUCGCUAGGUAUGUCACGCGCCAUGAGCACGUGAUGUGCCGUAGUGAAGACGAUAAGCGAGCCGCCUGGGAAGUACGUCCGCAAGGAUGAAACUUAAAGGAAUUGGCGGGGGAGCAUCACAACCGGAGGAGCCUGCGGUUUAAUUGGACUCAACGCCGGACAUCUCACCGGUCCCGACAGUAGUAAUGACGGUCAGGUUGACGACUUUACUCGACGCUACUGAGAGGAGGUGCAUGGCCGCCGUCAGCUCGUACCGUGAGGCGUCCUGUUAAGUCAGGCAACGAGCGAGACCCGCACUUCUAGUUGCCAGCAAUACCCUUGAGGUAGUUGGAUACACUAGGAGGACUGCCAUUGCUAAAAUGGAGGAAGGAACGGGCAACGGUAGGUCAGUAUGCCCCGAAUGGACCGGGCAACACGCGGGCUACAAUGGCUCUGACAGUGGGAUGCAACGCCGAGAGGCGACGCUAAUCUCCAAACGGAGUCGUAGUUCGGAUUGCGGG
rnacentral:rRNA from 1 species